rnacentral:tRNA from 1 species
UAGCCCCAUAGUACAGCGGUCAAGUAUAUCGGCCUCUGGAGCCGGUGACCCAGGUUCGAAUCCUGGUGGGGCUAU